CACCCCCUGGGCUGAAGGCAGACACUCAAGGUGUCUGAGCCACCCAGGUGGCACUGAGGGUGACUUCAUCAUGAACAUAACAUUCCAGGAAGCCAUCCUUCUGAAGACCAGCUUCCUUUGUUUGUAAAAGAAGACUGGGAAACUUCUCUUCAGGAUUCCUUGGUUUCUUUCUCCCCUUUCAGUUUUUAACUGUGUGUUGCAUUUGCUUGGAGCAGGGCCCCUGUGUCAUAUGUAUUAGUUUGCUGCCAUCACUAAGGAUGCUCUACAGUAAGGGAGAUGAAGGGUAUGGAGAAGAAAGGCUUUGGAGCCCUACAGACUUUUGACAUUCUGGGCUGUAUCCUGUCUGUGUGUGCCAUGUGGCCUGGUACACAAUGUAGGUGGCUCCAGGUGGAUCUGCUGGACCACUGAGCAGAAGCUGCAAUAUCCAAGGCUUUGCAUUACUGGGUCAAUUUCUUGUUCAAAGACCUCAGACAGCUUGGAGCAGUAUUUGUAUACCCGUGAUGUCUUUCGAUUAUACAACCAGGCAUUGUUGAACAUAAGCCAAAUGUCAUCCACAUACUGCCAGGGUUCCUGAUACUGUCCAGUGUCUAACUUUCUCUUGAUGGUAGAAAGGUCCAUGGGGCUCUUCACAAUAUCAAAGUAAUCCUAGAAGGAGCCAGCACACUCCUCCCUUGAGAGAAGUCCUACCUGUGCCACAAAUGCAUCACUAGAGUCACAAGAAGUUCUAGUCCCAACCUAGUUGCCUCCAGGAACAGAGAGCCUAAGAGACCUACUCUUCUUCUUUGACUGUCCUGGGGCUGGAGAAGACUGGGUAGUUGAAGUACUUGGCUGGUCUUCCUCCUCUUUUGUUUCAGCUUUUAAUUCAGUGCCUCUUUCUUCUGUUUCUGUAGGUUCCAUUUUACAGUCCUCUGCUUUAGUCUGAAAGACAAGGUCAACAUUUUUAGUAUUCCAAAGACUUGCCACCAGAAAGCAACAAGAUUAUUAUCUUAUUUACUCUGUCCUGUGGACAUAUCUAAAGACCCUUCCUCAUGUGGAAAUCAAUGAAAUGAGACCUAAUUAUCAGAAUGCUAAACUGGUUCCUAGACUGAGGUCCUAACCAACAGCAGUCCUUGCCCUGCUCUCACCUCUGGAAUAUCCUCUGGCUGAGUAUCUGCUGGUUCUGGUGGAUCCACUUCCAUCUUAGCCUCCAUUUUCACUUCCUGUGAAGGCUGCUUCUCAGGAAUGGUCUGAGAAUUGACUUCUGUGCUACUAGUGGAUGGAGGGUUUGAUACCUGCCCUUCAAUGCUUACAGCUGGCUGGGAAAGCUGGGCAGAAAAAGGGAAAAAACAAAAAGUUUGCCAAUGAUACAACCAGAGUUUAAGCUCCACAAUAGGACAGCAUCAUUUACCCUCUAUCUCUGGACUUGAAUCAUUAUAUUCAUUUAUUGUGCUUUCUCAUACUUGGACUAUUUCAUGUCCUUGAAGUAAACUGUGCUUCAGCACAGGAGCUUGAGGACUUGCAACACUGGCUGGCUGACUAUACACAGGAAAGACAGCCAGUUUCUGCACUAGCUGUGUGCAAUGUGUGAGGGGUAGGGUCUUAGAGAUGACUGCCUCAGAGGAGAAACAAAGAAAAUAAGGAUUGACUAUUUGUUUUAAGUUUCUGAUGGGAAAAGCUGCAAAUGUAUAGAAAAAGUAGAGAGCAUAUAAUGAACUCCCACACUGAGUAACUGUUUUGAAUCAUGACAUUCUAAUGGGAUAACUAGCAAUCUCUUUUUCCUAAGUCAUCCAAUAAGAAACCUCAUGAGUAGUUAGUAUUUUUAGGAACUACCCUAAACAAAAGUUUCCUUUCUGCACUCUGCUAUUUCUUGCAUAUCAGAGGCUGGGAUGAACCAGUUGCUAACUUAUGAUGUUUUAUGAAGUAGCUAUUGACUCAAGGGAUUUCUCUGUUCACCAACAUGACAGAGAAAUAAAAUAUAAGUGAGCAAAUAAAAAGUCCUGAGCCUUGACAUACAGAAUUCUAUUGAGAAUUCUAUUAGUAAGGAUGCAACUAUUAGAUGUGAACUUGGAUUUCUCCUAUGUACAUAAUGAGCCUCUCACAAGGAAGCUACUGACUGUUCCAGGCCCAUACUUUUCUCAUUUUAGGUCAUGAUUUUCAACCUUAGGACCACAGACAUUCAUAAACCUAUAGUUUUGUUCAUUCACUCUCAAGUAUUCCACAGCUCAGUUUGAAAGAAAUUAUACAUAAAUGGAAAAUUUAUGUGGUGUACUAAACAUACUAUGGAUUCUUACCCCUUGUCACCCUGCUUAUAUGCCUUCAAGUCUCAGAACACAAUUCAAAAGAUACAAUGGUCAGUAUCAGACCUAAGCAGAAUCUUUGAGCUCCCUCUAUGCUAGGUACUAUAAUGGGAAGAAAGAAUAGGAAGGAAAGGAAAGUCCCUAACUACAAAGAGAUUCUAGUUUAACUGGAGAGACAACACAAUAUAGAACAGAACUGGCAUAUAAAUAAUCUAACAUUACAGUACAAUUUGAAAAGAUUCCCCCAAACCCAAGUAAGUCUGUGCUUACUGGAGUUGCAGGCUGCGGGGGCAGCAGCGGCGCCGUCGGGGUGGGAACAGACGCUGCUGUACUCUGCUGUGAGAGAGGCUGCUGCUGUGGCUGGUCAGCUGAAGGAGCAGGAGGAAGUGAAGGCUGAACUUGAGGAGGAAGCUGCGUUGGUGGUGGUGUGGGUGUCUGCCUUGGAGGUGGAUGUAAAGCUUGGGUCUGUGGCCCAGGUGGCAUGGCUGGAGGUGUAGGAACAGGGGCUGGAAUUGCUGUUGCUGGUGGCUGCUGAGCCCCUAUGCUUGGGGGAGUGUGGUGAGGCGUGGGGGUGCGACUAGGUACCGGGGAGGGUGAAUUCUGAUGCAGAGCUGAUUGAGGAAGAGGGGGACAGUGAAUGUGGCUCCCUUGAGACCCUGGUGGCAUUAUAGGAGAGUUCACGGGGCAGGAAGAACUGGACAUUUGUGCCUGUGUAAUGAGAAACAGAAUAAGAUGGCAAUUCAGAACACAAAAGAAAUAUUUACACAGCUAGACUAUAUGCAAUAUGCUUUCUUUUCAAAAUGUUUCAAAUAUCCUGUUAUUGGGGGCAUAGCUUCAGAAAAAAAGUUCACCAGAAUGGCUUCAGCCACUGCAGGGGCACAGGACGGUGGAGUACACAGUAUUUUCUGCCUGGCUCUGCUCUCUUGAGCCACAGUUUGUUCUUCUGCACUAUAGCUCUUAAGAUUUCAUUUUAGGAAGCAUUCAAUACUAUAAAAAAAUGGUUACAACUAUCAAUUUAAUCUCUUUCCUAGUUUGUAGCAAUUAGCAGCACUGCUAUGUCACAAAAUAAUCUCUUCAUGUUCAGAGUACCAUUAUGUCCGUAACUGCUCUUUUUACCUUUUUUACAAGAUUUUAUUUAUUCAUUCAUGAGAGACACACCAGGAGAGGCAGAGAUAUAGGCAGAGGGAGAAGCAGGCUCUCUGCAGUGAGCCCAAUGUGGGACUUAAUCCCAAGACCCUGGGAUCACGACCUGAACCAAAGGCAGACACUCAACCAGGCAUCCUUUCCAUAACUGCUCUUAUUAAAACUUAAAAAUCAUCUAUUUUCACCGAUUAUUUGCUGCCACUUUUUCCUGUAAAAACCUGUAUCGAGAGACAUUUAAAAAAAUCACAAAAACAAGUAAACAAAACGAAACAAAACCCAUCUGUGAGACCUACUUGAGACACUGGUGCUUGGCCGCCAGUCGGAGCCAAAGGCAUAUUCGUUACAUUCAUCCCCUGUGUUGAGAACUGAGUCUGGGGAAGGAACUGGCUCUGGCUGGAAGGCUGCUGCAUGCGAGGCCCAUAGCCCAUAGGCUGCGGCUGCAUAGGGAAAGGAAAAAACAAAACAAAACAAAAAAACACAUAACACCAAUUGCUUCAUUAUGGUUAUUCUACUAUAGCUAGAAUCACCAACUGCUCUAGCUCUGCUGAGGGGAAAGCAGGGUAGGAAAAGAAGAAAGCAUUCAACCCCUGGACUCUGAUGCCAGGAUUUACGCCUGACUCAAACCUACUCUAAAGCAAUUCCAGGAGCUUACAGACAAACCAAUUCUCCUGAUACACAAAUGCACCUGACAAGGUACAGAGAUAACUGCUCUUUGCACACUGUUAAGUGACAGUGAACUACACCUUUAUGACGUCUGCUUAUUUCAUGAUAUUAUAAUAGCACAAACUGUAAGACUGUAUACUUGGUAUAAUUAAAA